UAACAUGGAUCGCUGGAAAGGCAGGGUUGCUCUGGUCACCGGGGCUUCGGUGGGAAUCGGGGCAGCUAUCGCAAAGUCUCUUGCCCGGCACGGCAUGAAGGUGGUCGGCUGUGCCAGGAACGUGGAGCAAAUCGAGAAACUGUCUUCUGAAUGCGUGAGCAGCGGCUUCAGCGGCAAUCUGAUCCCGUACAAAUGCGAUCUGUCCGUAGAGGACGACGUGUUAUCCAUGUUCUCCUGGAUCAAAGUUCAUCAUCAAGGAGUCGAUGUGUGCAUCAACAAUGCUGGAUUGGCUCUCCCGGAGCCUCUGCUGAGCGGAAAAAUCAGCGGCUGGAAGACCAUGAUAGACGUGAACGUCAUUGCCCUGUCAGUGUGCACCCGUGAGGCCUACCAGUCCAUGAAAGAAAGAAACAUCGACGAUGGUCAUAUCAUUAAUAUCAACAGCAUGAGUGGACACCGGGUCGUCAACAGUGCUGAUUCACACUUCUACACUGCCAGCAAAUACGCGGUGACCGCUCUCACUGAAGGUCUUCGUCAAGAGUUACGAGAGGCCAAAACCCACAUACGUGCCACAUGUAUUUCUCCUGGCUUAGUGGAGACUGAAUUUGCCUACCGGCUCUAUAAUGAAAACCCAGAAAAGGCUUCUGCUGCUUAUAAGAGUAUAAAGUGCCUGCAAGCGGAAGACAUCGCAAACGCGGUGGUGUAUGUCCUGAGCGCUCCUCCUCACGUUCAGAUUGGUGACAUUCAGAUGAGGCCUGUAGAGCAGCUGGCGUAAACUGAACAGAGAAACGGGAUGAAUGAAGCGUCUCUGACAUUUUUAGCAUCUUAUAGCACACUUAUUAUAUAUAUAUAUAUAUAUAUAGAGCACAAAACACUGCCCUGUCAUUUGAUUUAUUACAAAUAAAUAAUA